UGGGGAAUAUUGCGCAAUGGGGGAAACCCUGACGCAGCAACGCCGCGUGGGUGAAGAAGGCCUUCGGGUCGUAAAGCCCUUUCGGACGGGACGAAAGUUCCGCGGGGAUAAUCCGCGGAGCCUGACGGUACCGUAGGAAGAAGCACCGGCUAACUCCGUGCCAGCAGCCGCGGUAAUACGGAGGGUGCAAGCGUUGUUCGGAAUUACUGGGCGUAAAGCGCGUGUAGGCGGCCUUGUAAGUCAGAUGUGAAAGCCCUCGGCUCAACCGGGGAAGUGCAUCUGAAACGGCAAGGCUUGAGUACGGGAGAGGGAGGCGGAAUUCCCAGUGUAGAGGUGAAAUUCGUAGAUAUUGGGAGGAACACCGGUGGCGAAAGCGGCCUCCUGGACCGAUACUGACGCUGAGACGCGAAAGCGUGGGGAGCAAACAGGAUUAGAUACCCUGGUAGUCCACGCGGUAAACGAUGGGCACUAGGUGUGGGGGGUAUCCACUCCUCCCGUGCCGCAGCUAACGCAUUAAGUGCCCCGCCUGGGGAGUACGGCCGCAAGGCUA
rnacentral:rRNA from 1 species